rnacentral:tRNA from 1 species
ACCCGGGUGGCGGAACUGGUCAGACGCGGUCGUCUUAAGAACGACUGCCCCCGUGGGCAUGAGGGUUCGAGUCCCUCCCCGGGUA